rnacentral:rRNA from 1 species
UACGUAGGGGGCUAGCGUUGUCCGGAAUCAUUGGGCGUAAAGCGCGCGUAGGCGGCCCGGUAAGUCCGCUGUGAAAGUCAAAGGCUCAACCUUUGAAUGUCAGCGGAUACUGCCGGGCUAGAGUCCGGAAGAGGCGAGUGGAAUUCCUGGUGUAGCGGUGGAAUGCGCAGAUAUCAGGAAGAACACCCGUGGCGAAAGCGGCUCUCUGGGACGGUACUGACGCUGAGACGCGAAAGCGUGGGGAGCGAACAGG